CUUAAGGGGAAACAGCCCACCAGUGCUGCACAUAGAGUGACAACAUCUUGAGGAAGAUUUGGCGUUAAAAGAUGAAGGUCUAGGAAGAACAGAAUAUGACACCCUGAAUUUUAGCUGAGCAUAUGGCUAUCCAGGUACAGACUACAUUUCCCAAUGUCCCCUGUGGCUAAAUAUGGACAUGUGACUAAAUUCAGAUCAAUAAGAUGUGUGAAGUGAUAUGAGUGACUUCUGGGCCAUCUCUUUGGUGUGCUUGUCCUGGACAAUCUUUAUCCUCAUGGGCUGAAACAUGGGUGUGGGGAGCCAGUUAUGAGAUAAUGGAACAUCCAGAGAGAAGGAACCAUAUUUUGGAUAACGUUGUGGAUCACAGCUAUCCUGCCAUGCUUGGGCUUCUCACCUGUGGAUUGUUUUUUGUAAACAAAAUAAUGUUGCAACCUUGAACUGCAAAAUGAAGAUUGUUCAGCACAGUUCAAAUCAGGAAAUUACAUCUGAUUGUUGUCUGCUGGCUCCCUCAAACUCUACCUCUGUCAGAAUUCUGCCCCGGCAGGUGUGAGAGAGAAUAGAUGCAGAACUCAAGUGAAUAUCCACAUCUGUUUUUGGAAAAAAGGAACAGAAGCAGCACAGACGGAAGUAAAAGAGAUAAUUGCUGGCUUGAACAACAAUACAUUUUACUUGUGGGCAGAGGGCCAGCUUACAGCAGGCGGACUAUGCAGGCCCAUCUUAUUGGAAUUCAGGGGUGGGCCUCCCUUCUUGUCCGGAGACAGCUGUAAACCAGCAGCCCAUAGCAUCACAAUCAGGCACUGAGUUUUGUCAAGGAAUGCUGAUAUGUACAGAAGCAGCUUUGUCUCUUCCGACUGCACCCCGCCUGGUGAAAUGACAGUCAAUCUCUGAUUCCAGAUGACAAGAACUGGAUAAAAACUUACAACAAAUGGCGACCUUUCAAGAGAUUAAUUUGUUUACCAACAAAAUGUUCCCUCUUUGUCAUCUGAGAUGGGGGUGACCUUCACUUUCCCACAUCUAGGCUGAAAGGAUGCUGACUAUAGUCAUCUGUUAAGUUAACUCCAUCUCAGCAAUUAUUCCCUUUUCUAUGUUUAGUGACAAGAAGGGUUUAUUAAUUCACUCUGCUUCUUGUUAUGGUUUAUAAAUGCAACAAGCUCAUUCUGAAUUACUGCAGUGUAACAUCAAUUUGUUUAAAUCUAAUUUUGCUACCGUUGCCAAAUUAUGUUGUGACUGUAAUUGUGGCCAUAUGCAUGGGCUUAAAACACAAUCAUGUUUCGAAAUCAUCCUUCGCCCCCCCU